rnacentral:rRNA from 1 species
ACAGCAGUAGCCGCGGUAAUACGAAGGGUGCAAGCGUUACUCGGAAUUACUGUGCGUAAAGCGUGCGUAGGUGGUGGUUUAAGUCCGUUGUGAAAGCCCUGGGCUCAACCUGGGAAUUGCAGUGGAUACUGGGUCACUAGAGUGUGGUAGAGGAUAGUGGAAUUUCCGGUGUAGCAGUGAAAUGCGUAGAGAUCGGAAGGAACAUCUGUGGCGAAGGCGACUAUCUGGGCCAACACUGACACUGAGGCACGAAAGCGUGGGGAGCAAACAGGAUUAGAUACCCGUGUAGUCCCUGUCUCUUAUAA